rnacentral:lncRNA from 1 species
CUGAUGAAGUAAAACAUGUUUGGAACUUUUCUUUCAUCCAUCUGGACAUUGUAGUUGACAAGGUAAUUCACUUUGUGAUGAAGCUGGAUCAGAAGUCUGUGCUCAUAGUAUCUCAGUCCUUGGAUCUCUUGUUUCAGGUCACGUAUCUCUUGCUCGAUAAUCUUAAGUCUCUGAAGUACUGCUUCUACACCCUUAGCGAUUCCACCGAAGCUAGGAUCAACUUUUUCCAGCUCAUUGGUCACCGGUACAUGAUUAUCUGCUUCGGGGUUUUCGUCAGUGGGAACUUGUAGUUCUUGAGCUAAGUUGUGCAGAUCAUGGUACCUUCUUUGCAAUACUUCUCUGAAAUCAUCAUCAGAGAGGAGGUUGCGGGCUAAAUCAAAUCCGGCUCUUAGAACAGUCUUACCUGAAUCUAGGACAGAGUCCCAUGUGUGUUGAU